rnacentral:ncRNA from 1 species
GAUCCUGCCAGUAGUCAUAUGCUUGUCUCAAAGAUUAAGCCAUGCAUGUGCAAGUAUGAACCAAUUUGAACUGUGAAACUGCGAAUGGCUCAUUAAAUCAGUUAUAGUUUGUUUGAUGGUACGUGCUACUCGGAUCACCGUAGUAAUUCUAGAGCUAAUACGUGCAACAAACCCCGACUUUUGGGAGGGGCGCAUUUAUUAGAUAAAAGGCUGACGUGGGCUCUGCUCGCUG